GAUGAACGCUGGCGGCGUGCUUAAUACAUGCAAGUCGAGCGAACAGAUGAGGAGCUUGCUCCUCUGACGUAAGGGGCGGAUGGGAGAGUAGCAAGUGGCUAACCUACCUAUAAUACCGGGGUAACUUCGGGACACAGGAGCUAAUAGCGGAUAAUAUGUUGGACCGCAUGGGUAAAUAGUUAUAGGCGGUUGUGCUGCUCCUGAUCGAUGAGUCCGCGCCGCAUUAGCUAGUUGGUAAGGUAACGGCUUAGUAAGGCGACGAUGCGUAGCCGACCUGAGAGAGGGAUCGCCCGCACGAGAGCUGAGACGGGGACCAGGCGCCUGCGGGAGGCAGCAGUAGGCAAUCGUCCGCAAUAGGCGAAAGCCUGACGGAGCAGCGCGACGUGAGAGAUGGAGGUCUUCGGAGCGUGAAGAACUGUUUUGAGUGAUAAACAAAUUUGUAAGUGACUGUGCACUUCUUGACGGUACCUGAUCAGAAAGCCACGGCUAACUACGUG
rnacentral:rRNA from 1 species